rnacentral:rRNA from 1 species
GAUGAACGCUGGCGGCGUGCCUAAUACAUGCAAGUCGAGCGAACGGACGAGAAGCUUGCUUCUCUGAUGUUAGCGGCGGACGGGUGAGUAACACGUGGAUAACCUACCUAUAAGACUGGGAUAACUUCGGGAAACCGGAGCUAAUACCGGAUAAUAUUUUGAACCGCAUGGUUCAAAAGUGAAAGACGGUCUUGCUGUCACUUAUAGAUGGAUCCGCGCUGCAUUAGCUAGUUGGUAAGGUAACGGCUUACCAAGGCAACGACGCAUAGCCGACCUGAGAGGGUGAUCGGCCACACUGGAGCUGAGACACGGUCCAGACUCCUACGGGAGGCAGCAGUAGGGAAUCUUCCGCAAUGGGCGAAAGCCUGACGGAGCAACGCCGCGUGAGUGAUGAAGGUCUUCGGAUCGUAAAACUCUGUUAUUAGGGAAGAACAUAUGUGUAAGUAACUGUGCACAUCUUGACGGUACCUAAUCAGAAAGCCACGGCUAACUACGUG